rnacentral:rRNA from 1 species
CCUACGCGUGGCAGCAGUGAGGAAUAUUGGUCAAUGGGCGAGAGCCUGAACCAGCCAAGUCGCGUGAGGGAGUACUGCCCUAUGGGUUGUAAACCUCUUUUGUCGGGGAGCAAAAGCCGGACGUGUCCGGCUGUGAGAGUACCCGAAGAAAAAGAAUCGGCUAACUCCGUGCCAGCAGCCGCGGUAAUACGGAGGAUGCGAGCGUUAUCCGGAUUUAGUGGGUUUAAAGGGUGCGCAGGCGGAUUUUUAAGUCAGCGGUCAAAUCGUGGGGCCAAACCCCAACCCGCCGUUGAAACUGGGGGUCUAGAGUGGGCGAGAGGGAUGCGGAAUGCGGGGUGUAGCGGUGAAAUGCAUAGAUAUCACGCAGAACCCCGAUUGCGAAGGCAGCAUGCCGGUGCACAACUGACGCUCAGGCACGAAAGCGUGGGUAUCGAACAGGAUUAGAUACCCGAGUAGUC